UACAGAGGGGGCAAGCGUUGUUCGGAAUUACUGGGCGUAAAGGGCGCGUAGGCGGCCUGCUAAGUCGAACGUGAAAUCCCUGGGCUCAACCCAGGAACUGCGUCCGAUACUGGUUGGCUUGAAUCCGGGAGAGGGAUGUGGAAUUCCAGGUGUAGCGGUGAAAUGCGUAGAUAUCUGGAGGAACACCGGUGGCGAAGGCGACAUCCUGGACCGGUGUUGACGCUGAGGCGCGAAAGCCAGGGGAGCAAACGGG
rnacentral:rRNA from 1 species